AUCGACGGUGCUGUAGGCGAUAUUUAAAGUUGAAAUAAGGAAUAUGUACAUUAUAUUAUAUUAUUAUAUAAUAUUAUAUUGAAUGUAUAGUGCUGGAAAACAAAUAGAAUGUAUUAGAAAUUGAGUCAGGAAAUCGAGUAUUAGUCUAAGCAAGAUUACACUCAGUAACAUAUGGAUAUUGACUGAGAUCAUCGGGUGAUUAGCUGUAAUAUUAUACUCAUGUAUUUUGAAACGAGACGAAGUUGUAAAAUUUAUUUUGCUAGUGAACUGCGUAUAGAUAGUUGAAAUGGGAGUUGGAAUAUAUAGGGAGAACUGUAGCCUGCGUAUGUAGCAGAGAUCAUAGGGAAGAUUAGCAGUGCCAAUCCCGGGAGAUUAACCACGAAAUGUGCUAGCGGUAGCGCCGGAACUAAUUUUACAGCCGGACUUGUCGGUAUGGCACCGAACAUUACGGCUGCAAAAUCGGAGCAGAGGGAAAAGUCGGUAACGCUGAUAGCGUGGGGUGGGGGAAUCAGAGAUCAUGCGCCUUGAUCUCUUGUUCAUAUGACUAUCUCGAAACGGCUUGAUCAGGAUAUGCUUCCUCAUACAGUUUAAAUAUCUGAGUCCGGCUCAAGUGAGAAGGUAGAAAUUUCUUGGAGGUUCUGCUGCGAGAAUAGUGCGACUCAUACGCCGGGAAACUCAGUAUGUGAAUUCUAACUACUGUCCCGAAAUCCCCAACGAAUUAUUGAUGAUUUGUUUGAAUAAAUUGUCAAGUGCUGGAUUUGAACCAGGUCUGUUUCGAGCGGCUUGUUUUCAGAGAAUUCACUGACGACAUUAUCGUCAUUGGGCACAGCAAAACCUGGGAAACGUCAACGAAAAGGAAUUCAAGCCCCAGCCGAUGAUUUCCAGAUGCGGCGCAUCUAAUAGUGACUUAAACUCAACCCAUCCAAAUCACAAACACAUAUAAUUUGUUUUCAACUCCCAAAAAUCUUCAUCCAACAUCACUCUUUAGAACACCCCCAUCGAGCAUUAUCCCCAUUCUAGCCAUCUUGGGGUUGGAGUUACUGCAUUCUUAAUCGCAAGAGACCAUGCCGAGUGGAAAUUUCGUCAGGCGACCCUCAAGUUGGAUCAAUAUUGGACCCGACAAUAGUCAGGUUUGCCUGAGCUAGUAAUCCCGGAUGAAAAACUGAUCAAAUCGUGAUCUGGUUUGUGUAAUCAAAAAUAACGCAGGUCAAUUAUGAUCAGGUCCUGAUCUAAUGGGCAUGGCCUUAAUUUGAUGUCAGGUCGCCUGAAAUAAAACGGACCAAAUUCUUAUCUUCCUGAUAUGAUUUCAGCCAUUAGACGGCGUUAUGAACCAUUUCUGACUAGGCUGGAAUGUGAGGCAAUUGAUUUCAGGUUGAACCGGAAAAAACCUGAGAAUGAAAUUAUAAAAUUUUGGGUAAAUGUCUAUUAUAGCCCCCCCGGGAAUUAUACCGGCGAUUUUGCCGAUCCUUGUGUACAACGGGGAUCGGGUAAACUCGACGGGUUCUGAGGCUAUCAGGAGUCUUAAAGUGAUUCCUCUAUCAGUAUAGAAUGCGACGCGAAUUGAAUCACAUGAAGCUUAGUGAGAUCUUUGUAGUUAGUGAGAAUUACGAAGUGCUAGUUGAAUUCUUACGUGAACAUAAAGUGUUACUGAGAGAGGUGAAGUGCCCUAUGAAGGAUUUCAUCACUUCACAGUAAACCAUUCAAUCAAUUUUGUGGAUCCUGUGACACACACAAAAUAUUGAGAGAUCAUGGAGAGACCUCGAAGGACAACUCCAGAGAUACGGCACAAGUGAAGACCAUUACCAAGGAUAUCUGUGUGAAUUCGUAUUUAAGAGGAGCGUAUCAUUCCAGGAUAGAGUGACACAAUGAUGGGAAACAAUGGCCAAACAUUACACCGCAAACGGGAAUUUGAAUCUACAAUAACUCAAGGUGAUAGCCGUACCCAAAGGAAUAAAGAUCAGGCAUCGACUUAGGUGAUAAUAGUGUAAACAAAUUUAAAUUCUCUUCUAUUUAUUGAAUUUGCUGCUAGAAGCAGCAGUGGCGAAGAUUACACUUAUUAUCAACACAAGACGUUUAAGGUAACAGGCUAUGUUUACCUCUGGAGGGAUUAGCUGCGCCUGGGUGAGUGAAUGCCAAUUAUAACAUCUCUUUGUAUUGUUCAUUGUCUCUAAAUGUACCAACAUGUGUUGUUAUGGGGCCGUCAACCGCCACGUCCAUGCCGUGGCCCUGGGUAAUGCAGAGAGCGGUAUACAAAUUCCAACGUUAUGUGGAAACUAAUUGUUUCCCCACAAAACGGUUUGCAGAUUCGUUAUCAGGAGUUCGAAAUCUAUUGACACUGCAAAAAUCAGAACGACAUUCCGUGGGGGGGGGGGGUGAUACUAGACAUUUACCAGAUUUUGUAUAUAUGCUGACUUUGCGUGUGAAUUUUAAAUCGCUUUUGCACGUGAAAUUAUGAACAUAUAAUUUUGUAGAUGGUUUCAGGGAAUAUCACAAAUCUGAAUGUUUCAGUAUUAAAUUAUUUUCAUCAUUCCAGACAAAUUCAUAACUUUUGUUUAUUUACCUCUCAAUUUUAUAAAUAUAUUAAAUUAUUAUAUGCCUGAAUCACCGAGACGAUAGUUAUCCAUAACCUCAAUUAUCCAAGCGUACGCGUGUUUAUCUUCAUCUUCAACGAAGAUCUCAUUCCAUGAGUAGUGAAACCAUGCUGGUGUGAUGAGGACAUCAAGAAGAUAGAGGAUACUCGUCGACAAUGUAUCGAUACACAUGCGUGAUCUUUGACAGCAGCGGUUGGUCAGAUUUAAUCACAGCUAGUCCGCGGUCUUGCGGGGAAUAAUGAAAUAAAACAACAGAAUGCUGAAGCCGUUAUUAUGCCUGCGAAUCGAGCUCCGAUCGGAGAUCUUCAUCAAUACUUCUGUGAGACUCUGGAAGAAUUCGCCAUCUUCAAUGAUAUGCUUCGAGAUAAUCCGGAAUAUCGCAAUUUGGUGUACUAUGGCUUAAAAGCCCAAAUCAACCUCAAUGGUAAGUUGAAAUACAGCAUCGGAAAGAUACUGAGAAGUUUGAUGAGUAAAAAUAUUCUCGAACAUUAUACUGCCCAGAAGAAAACGGAACGAAAAGGACUGAUAACUGAUUUACAGUUGUGAAAGUACGUAAAAGCUCAAUUAGCAGAAGCUUCACAUCAGGGGAAGCCUGAACUAAAGGAGAAGGAAUUAAAUUCAGCUUUGAGCACGGCCAUGAAUAAUUACAAGUCUUCCAAGAAACGUCCUAACAACAACAAUGCCAUUCAAGAUGUCAAUGGGAAUAGGGAAAAUUAAGGACCUGUAGAACAUGAGCCAGUCAAUCUUAGGACGUCAAGUGUUUUACGAAAAACUUGUCAUCAAAAUAAUUUAAAUUG